UUUUUCCGUAAAGUAAACCAUGAAACUGUUGACUGCGACCAUUUCAACUUGUUCUAUUUCCGGAUAACACUUUAAGCUCCCGUUUUAGUAUAAUAACUCUUUUAAGGGAUUAUAACUUGUCGACAUGGAUAAACAGCCUCAAGUCAACUUUGUAAGUGCUCCAUCACCAUGAUUUGUCGCUGUGGUAUGAAAGGAUUGGGAUCAAGUAUGCUUACAGUAAAAGAUAUAUGAUUUUACUUUGACGUUUGAAAUAUCAAACACGAAUAUUUGAAUGUUAUUUUAUGUAUGUUUGGUUCAUAAUGGUACUUUGUCAAGUGUAAGACCCACAAACCUUCUUCAAAGUUGAAGUCACUAUUGCAGUUAAUUGUUACCACAACCCAGGUCUGGGGAAUAGUGGGGACUUUGACUUUCGGUCCAGCCUAUCCAAGGUAAAAUUCCGCCCUGCAGCGAAGAACUAAUGGUCAAACCAAAUCAAAGGCUCCCACAUCCCGGGAACCCUAGGUAAGGUCCAUUCCAGCUAUAUUUUGCGCGAAGAUAAAACUACACUAUUCACCGGCACUGCCAGGCCAUCUUGAAGGUAAAAACAUGGCCCAUUUCCCUGACUGCAUGUGUCCCUGGACUGGGUCGGGGCGUGGUUACAAAUGAAUGGUGCAUAACAUUCUAAAUGCAAUGUCAGAUUCACAUUGAGAGAAUUGCUACCAUUUGUCCAAAUAUUAUUUUCAUCAAUUGUGGCAAUGAAAGCAGAUAGAUCAGAUAUAAUGCACAGUAAAGAUUUUCCUUUUCUUUUUGUAAUAUAUCUUGAAGAAUAUCAAAGACUGUGGGAACUGAAAGGUUUUAUACCAAGACUUACAGUCAUAGUUGAUAAUGACAAAGUUAUCAAGUAUUGCAUUAUUCAAAUAUAAUUUCAGGUUAUGCAGGUUGUUGAGAGCAAUUAAUAUGAUGAGGGAAGGCAGGAAAGAGUACCAGUUUUAUAGUCUGUAUGUACUCGUGGCAAAAUGGUGUUCGAGCGUUGGCGAAUAAGGAUUUGCUUGCAGCGUUGAAAAACGAUAAUAUGCAAAGAACAGAAAGAAAGGUUCUCUUAACAUAGAAAGUAAAGAAAUAAUGAAGUUCACACUACAGUUGACAAUAUGGAUGUGUUUCCUUUGUUAUUUGAACAUGAUUUAUUUUAACUUACAUAACAAGUAUGCACUACAAUAAUGAAUAUCUAUAUUAAUAGUAAUGAUAUUCCAUUAAACAUGGAUAUGGAAAAAAUAUUCUUUGACAGUGCAAGAUAAGAUAAAUCCAGACAUAGUUUCAUCCACAUACUUGAAAUUUGUCUUGUAACUACAUGUAUUUUUAUGAGGUUAAGUGGUGAGUAAUCAAC